rnacentral:rRNA from 1 species
GACGAACGCUGGCGGCGUGCUUAACACAUGCAAGUCGAACGGAAAGGCCCUGCUUUUGUGGGGUGCUCGAGUGGCGAACGGGUGAGUAACACGUGAGUAAACUGCCCUUGACUUUGGGAUAACAUCAGGAAACUGGGGCUAAUACCGGAUAGGAGAUCCUGCUGCAUGGUGGGGGAUGGAGAGUUUCGGCGGUUGGGGAUGGACUCGCGGGUUAUCAGCUUGUUGGUGGGGUAGUGGCUUACCAAGGCUUUGACGGGUAGCCGGCCUGGGCGGGUGACCGGCCUCAUGGGGCCUAGGGGACGGCCCAAACGCCUACGGGACGCAACAGGGGGGAAUCUUGCACAAUGGGCGGGAGCCUGAUGCAGCAACGCCGCGUUCGGGAUGACCGCCUUCUGGGUGUAAACAGCUGUCUCCUUUGACAUAGCCUUCGUGACGGUAAUGGGUCAAAAAGCACCGGCUAACUACGUG